UAUACGGUUUGUCACGUAUUCUCUAAUAAAUGUCAAUAACAAAUGAAAUUCCAAAGAUAAUAAAAAAAAAAAUUCAAAAAUCUUCACUCCGACGCGUGACGUAAAGCAAAUAUGUAAAAAUCAGUAUCUGAGUGUUGUACACAAAUAUUUCAAAUGCUAAACAACUAAAUUCGAUAAUAUCGCUGCACGUCGCUUAUGCGAAUUUCCGGGUAAUCACGUCCGAAUAUUUCCAUUAUCAAAAAAGACAAGAGUAGAGUACAAAACGAGACGGUCAGGGCGCGGAAAUUGAACGCGAAACCCCAAAUGAGAAAAACUAGGGAAAGACCGACUGACACGGCGGAAGGAGAUUUAAAAAAAGAUUGCGAGUUUGAAACCAUUAGAGUUAGACAAGUGGCCAAGUGUAUUACAGUUAUGGCGGCGAAAUCUAUAGAGGCUUACAGAG